CAUAUCCUGUUUAAAAAAUAAAAAUAAAAAUAUAUUAUGAUUGUCUCCCUUCCUUCUUCGUUGACUUUCUCCUCGUCGUCUGACCACCGUUCCUUCUCUAUCCUCGAAGCUUCAGGUCUUACUGUCGUCUUGUACGCAGAAAUUAUGCGUGGUAUAUCUAGUGAUUGAGCUACAAGUGAGGAAACUGGAAAGCUUCACAAAGCAAUACUUAUUUUCUGAGAGACACAAGGACUAACUCAUAAUGGUUGUUCUCUCUGAACUUUUUGAAGGAUCUUCAUCUUCUUCAUCAACUCAUGGUCAUAUAUAUGACAUAUUCUUAAGUUUUAGAGGCCUUGACACUCGUAAUAAUUUUACUGCAUACCUUCGUAAAGCCCUCAUGGAUGCCAAUAUAACUACCUUCUUGGAUGGUGAAGAGAUUGAAACCGGGGAAGAUCUGAAACCGGAAUUGGAGAGUGCGAUCAAAGCAUCUAGGGCUUCUGUUAUCGUGUUAUCCAAGAAUUAUGCUUCUUCCACAUGGUGUCUUGAUGAAUUGGUGCUGAUCCUUGAGCAACGUAUGAAAUCCAAUCAUGUUGUAAUCCCUAUUUUUUAUCAUGUUGAGCCCACCGAUGUCAGGAAGCAACAAAGUAGCUUCGGAGAUGCAAUGGCUAAGCAUAGACAGACAAUGGAGUUGGAGACAAAUGCAAAUAAAAGAAGUAAAUGGGCUCAAAAGAUGGACCGAUGGAAGAAAGCGCUUACAGAAGUUGCUGACAUAAAAGGGAAGGACGUAAAUGGCAGGAUAGAGCCAGAGGUUAUUGAAGACAUUGUUAAGGACGUUUAUCAUAGAUUACAUGUACCCUUAAGGAGUCCUCUGCCACUACUUAUUGGGAUGGAGUCUUCAGUUAAAUUCAUCACUUCAUGGUUGAAAGAUGCAUCCUCACAUCUUUAGCCAAAUAUGUGUAUGGGUUACAUUUUCGUGAAUUCCACACAAGUAGCUAUAUUGGGGAUAUUAGUAGGAGAUGUGAUGAAAAAUUUAGUGGGUUGCUUGAUUUACAAAAACAACUCUGUGAUGACAUUUCAAAGAAAACAUCAAUUCAAGUUCAUGAUGUUUCUACAUACACCUCAAAGAUAGAGAAUUUAGUAGCUCAUAAAAAGGUGCUUCUAGUUCUUGAUGAUAUUGAUAGUCUCACUCAGUUGGAUGCAUUACUUGGAAGCAGAAGUUUUCACCCAGGAAGCAUAGUUAUAGUAACAACAAAGGAUGCAUGGUUGACAGAGAGUUGUGCACUAUUCAAAACGAACCUUAAACUCAAACAUACAAAGCAUGUGCUAAAAGGCUUAUCUCAGAUUGAUUCACAAAAACUUUUGUGUUUUCAUGCGUUCAUGUCCAACAAUCCCAAUGAAGGGUAUGAAGAGGUGUCAGAAAACUUUGUGAGAUAUUGUGAAGGACACCCAUUGGCUCUUGAAAUUUUGGGCAAGUCUCUACAUAAUCGGGAUGUAGCUUACUGGGAAGAUCGGAUAAAACGGCUAAAGAAAGAAACUGGUUCUCCUGUAAAUAAUGUCUUGAGAAUGAGCUUUGACUCUUUGCCAUCUGAAAAUGAUAAAGAAUUGUUCAAGCAUAUUGCAUGUUUUUUUGUUGGAAUAGAUAGAGAUGUGGCUGAAACAAUAUUAAAAGCAUGUGAUAUAGACACUAGAUAUGGGAUCACGAAUCUCAUUGAUAACUGCCUUCUUAGUAUUGGAUGGAAUAACGAAUUCAUGAUGCAUCAAUUGCUUCAAAAGAUGGGAAGGUCCAUAGUACAUGAAGAAUCACCAGAUAAGCCAUGGAAGCGAAGUCGAUUAUGGUGUCACGCUGAGUCAUUCAAAGUGUUGAAACAAAAAAAGGGUAAAGGAAAUCUUCUAGGCCUUGCCCUUGACAUGCAAAUGCUUGAGAAAGAAAAGUUGCGUGUAUCAAUGGAGGUGAAAACAGAUGCAUUGAGUGACAUGGAUAAUCUAAUGCUACUACAACUCAAUUAUGUACCACUUAUUGGGUCUUAUGAGAACUUUCCAGAAGAACUAAGAUGGUUGUGUAUGCAUGGAUUCCCUUUAAAGACUAUACCUUUAGACUUACCAAUGGAGAAUCUCGUUGCUCUUGACUUGUCUUAUAGCAAUAUUGAAUCAUUUGGCGUUUGUUAUAGUAAUUCACAUCGACAUGAUAGUAGUCAAAAGCAGUUGAUUGGAUCAUGCUCAAAAAAUAAAAGGUUGCUUGGAUCACUAAAGAUUCUAAAUUUAAGUUUCUGUGAACAACUUCGUAGUCUGAGUGGCUUUGACGAACUCUCUGCACUUGAGAGGUUAAUAGUUAGAAAUUGCUCUAAUUUACUUGAGGUUUCUGACUCUAUUGAGCAAUGUUUUGAACUCAUCCUCAUUGAUCUGAGCUAUUGCAUCAAGCUUGAAAAACUUCCAAGAAGCUUAGGAAUGUUAAAGAAAGUUAAAACACUAUUGCUAAAGGGAUGUAAUCUUGGUGAACCUCAAAUAGAUACUACAGAGAUGGAUUCAAUGGAAAAGCUCAAGACUAACAACAUUGACAUAAGCACAUUAACCUCUUCCUCUACUGUUCUAGAGGCUAUACCAAGGGACUUGAAGUUCUUUGCGGUUUCUUUACCUAGAUCUUUAGUAAGCUUGUCACUUGAAAAUAACAAUUUGUCCACCGAAUCCUUUCCCAUGGACUUUAGUUGCCUAUCCAUGUUAGAGGAAUUAUAUUUGGAUGAGAAUCCUAUAGUUUCCCUGCCCAACUGUGUGAGAAACCUUCCUAGGCUUCAGAUACUUAGCAUGCAAAACUGUAAUUCACUGACAUCAAUCGAGCAUCCUCCACAUACACUAAGAGAGUUGAUCCUCUUUUCUGAUUAUAAGCCUUUGCUACAAAAAGUACUAUUUGAUCCAAAAAUGUCCCCACUCAAGUUUUUAUUAGAGUGGAAGAUGUUUGCAACUUCAUCGUUUGAAAUUGAAGGGAUGAUCAAAAUCCAACCAAUGGCAGGAGUUGAGGAAAAGGUAAUAAGUAGUUUGGGCUGGACUAAUCUAGAGUUCCUCAAUGAAAGACGUGUGGCAACUUCUACACGUGAUAGAGGAUAUGAAGAAUCUGAAAUCCAGAUGUAUUAUGAAUUUGGAAUAUUCAGCACAAUUUAUGGAGGCCAAGAGAUGCCGAAUUGGAUUACAGAUAGAAGCACGGGCCCAUCAAUAUCAUUUUUCAUCCCUUCAUCUCCUAACAAGCUCAAGGGAUUUAAUUUCUGCUAUGUGUUGGCAUCUCGAUUUAUGAAUGAGAAGCAUGAAUUUGUAGAUGAAAAGUUCCUUUAUUUACCCAUGAUCAUGAUUAGAAAUAAAACAAAGAGCCAGACCUGGAUAUACGAACAUUACAUUGGAAGAGUUAAUGUUGCUGGAAAGUGUUUUACAUUGUUAAGUCAUUGGAUGUUUGGGAGGAUUGAAAUGGAAGCUGAUGAUCACAUUACUAUUACUGUGAGGGAGAACCCAUUUCAUGUUGGUAAGCAAGUUACAAAGGAGUGUGGGGUGAGUCUUGUGUAUGAUGAUGGUGAAGAAGAAGAAGAUGCUUUGGGUUAUUACAAAUCUUGGAAUCACAUUAUUAGUGGAGAUCUCACUCCAUUUCAGGUACAAACAGGAGAAUACAUUCUAAGCAAAAGGCGAUUGAUGCUGCCUUAUAUUGAAAUGGAUACAGACGACAUCCGCUUUAAUGGAAAGAACUUUGGCUUUAGAGCUUUAUCCCAGAAGUAGUCCGAAAUACUUGGUCAUGCAUGGGAGGAUGCAACAAAAUAAAAGGAGUUGUAACCUUGCAAUGGACGCUUGGAAAUGGCAACAUAAAAACCUAAGGUCCAACCCUCAAGCAAAUUUUGCAGCCUCUUCAGAUAUCGGAUCCACACCAGCAACUACGUGGUUUCCUGACACCGGUGCUAAUAGUUAUGUCACCCGUGAUUUAUCAAAUCUUGGCAACUCCAACACAUACCAUGGUAACGAUUCACUCCAUUUUGGUGAUGGUAAUGCUUUUCCUAUCUUUUAUAUUGGCUCAUCAAAACUCUUCUCACCCUAUAAAACUUUUAAUCUUACAAACAUUCUUCAUGUUCCUCAGAUUCAAAAGAAUAUAUUAUCGGUUAAAUUUUUUUGUCAUGAUAAUAAUGUUUACUUUGAGUUUAACUCUUUUUUCUUUGUUGUGAAGGACGAGUCUACACACACUACCCUUUUUUCGGGUCCAAGUGAUAAUUGUCCCUACUCACUCUGUCUCCCUUAACUCAAGUUAAUUCCUAAGAUUUCUUUCACAACAACCAAAGCUUUAUCUGCUAUUUGGCAUCAACGUCCGGUCAUCCAAAUCAAUGUGUUUUUAAUUAUGUUAUUUCUAGUUGUUCUUUACCCAUUUCUACAAAACUCAAUUCUUCGCUAUGUACUUCUUGUCAUUUGGGUAAGUCUUCCAAACUUUGAUUACAUAACUCUUCUUUUCGUAGCAAUAAAAUUAUGGAUUUUGUAUAUUGUGAUGUUUGGGGCCCUUCCCC